UACAGAGGGUGCGAGCGUUAAUCGGAAUUACUGGGCGUAAAGGGUGCGUAGGUGGCUGCGUAAGUUAGAUGUGAAAUGCCAGGGCUCAACCUUGGUUGUGCAUCUAAUACUGAGCGGCUAGAGUGUUGGAGAGGGUAGUGGAAUUUUCGGUGUAGCGGUGAAAUGCGUAGAUAUCGGAAGGAACACCAGUGGCGAAGGCGACUAUCUGGCCAAGCACUGACACUGAGGCACGAAAGCAUGGGGAGCAAACAGG
rnacentral:rRNA from 1 species